rnacentral:rRNA from 1 species
GAUGAACGCUGGCGGCGUGCUUAACACAUGCAAGUCGAACGGAGCUUAUAUGAUAGAGACUUCGGUCAAUUGAUUAUAAGCUUAGUGGCGGACGGGUGAGUAACGCGUGAGGAAUCUGCCUUGGAGUGGGGAAUAACACAGUGAAAAUUGUGCUAAUACCGCAUAAUGCAGUUGAGUCGCAUGGCUCUGACUGCCAAAGAUUUAUCGCUCUGAGAUGACCUCGCGUCUGAUUAGCUAGUUGGUAGGGUAACGGCCUACCAAGGCGACGAUCAGUAGCCGGACUGAGAGGUUGGCCGGCCACAUUGGGACUGAGACACGGCCCAGACUCCUACGGGAGGCAGCAGUGGGGAAUAUUGGGCAAUGGGCGCAAGCCUGACCCAGCAACGCCGCGUGAAGGAAGAAGGCUUUCGGGUUGUAAACUUCUUUGUCAGGGACGAAUAAAUGACGGUACCUGACGAAUAAGCCACGGCUAACUACGUG